GACGAACGCUGGCGGCGUGCUUAACACAUGCAAGUCGAACGAAGUGGCGAACGGGUGAGUAAUACGUGGGUAACCUGCCCUCCUUUUUGGGAUAAGCCUUGGAAACGGGGUCUAAUACCGAAUAAAGGGGGAUGGGCUCGCGGCCUAUCAGCUUGUUGGUGGGGUGAUGGCCUACCAAGGCGGUGACGGGUAGCCGGCCUGAGAGGGGGACCGGCCACAUUGGGACUGAGAGACGGCCAAGACGCCUACGGGAGGCAGCAGGGGGGGAUAUGGCACAAUGGGCGAAAGCCUGAUGCAGCGACGCCGCGUGGGGGAUGAAGGCUUUCGGGUUGUAAAGUUCUGUGAUUCGGGACGCGGUACCUAAAAAGCAAGCCACGGCUAACUACGUGCCAGCCGCCGCGGUAAUUC
rnacentral:rRNA from 1 species